rnacentral:rRNA from 1 species
CGCGAAUGGCUCAUUACAACAGCUAAAAUUUACUUGAUCUUGACUUCCUACUUGGAUAACUGUGGUAAUUCUAGAGCUAAUACAUGCACCAAAGCUCCGACCUUACGGGAAGAGCGCAUUUAUUCGAACAAAACCAAGCGGCUUCGGCCGUUCGCAGUUGACUCAGAAUAACUAAGCUGAUCGCAUGGUCUUGAACCGGCGACGUGUCUUUCAAGUAUCUGCCUUAUCAACUUUCGAUGGUAGUGUAUCUGACUACCAUGGUGGUGACGGGUAACGGAGGAUAAGGGUUCGGCUCCGGAGAGUUCGCCUGAGAAAUCGCGAACACAUCUAAGGAAGGCAGCAGGCGCGAAAAUUACCCACUCUCAGCACGAGGAGGUAGUGACGAAAAAUAACGAGACCGUUCUCUUAUGAGGCCGGUCAUCGGAAUGGGUACAAUUUAAACCCUUUAACGAGUAUCUAUGAGAGGGCAAGUCUGUGCCAGCAGCCGCGGUAAUUCCAGCU